rnacentral:rRNA from 1 species
GACGUAGGGUGCGAGCGUUGUCCGGAUUUAUUGGGCGUAAAGAGCGUGUAGGCGGUUAGGUAGGUCCGUUGUGAAAACUCGAGGCUCAACCUCGAGACGCCGAUGGAAACCAUCUGACUAGAGUCCGGAAGAGGAGAGUGGAAUUCCUGGUGUAGCGGUGAAAUGCGCAGAUAUCAGGAGGAACACCGGUGGCGAAGGCGGGUCUCUGGGCCGAUACUGACGCUGAGGAGCGAAAGCGUGGGGAGCGAACAGG